GACGAACGCUGGCGGCGUGCUUAACACAUGCAAGUCGAACGAGAGGACAAGAGAAGCUUGCUUCUUUUGGAAUCGAGUGGCAAACGGGUGAGUAACACGUAAACAACCUGCCUUCAGGAUGGGGACAACAGACGGAAACGACUGCUAAUACCGAAUACGCUUGGGAGACCGCAUGAUCUACCAAGGAAAGGGUGGCCUCUACCUGUAAGCUAUCGCCUGAAGAGGGGUUUGCGUCUGAUUAGGCAGUUGGUGAGGUAACGGCCCACCAAACCUACGAUCAGUAGCCGGUCUGAGAGGAUGAACGGCCACACUGGAACUGAGACACGGUCCAGACUCCUACGGGAGGCAGCAGUGGGGAAUCUUCCGCAAUGGGCGAAAGCCUGACGAGCAACGCCGCGUGAGUGAUGACGGCCU
rnacentral:rRNA from 1 species